rnacentral:rRNA from 1 species
GACGAACGCUGGCGGCGUGCUUAACACAUGCAAGUCGAACGGAAAGGCCCUGCUUUUGUGGGGUGCUCGAGUGGCGAACGGGUGAGUAACAUGUGAGUAACCUGCCCUUGACUUUGGGAUAACUUCAGGAAACUGGGGCUAAUACCGGCUCGGAGCUCCUGCUGCUUGGUGGGGGUUGGAUUGCUUCGGCGGUUGGGGAUGGACUCGCGGCUCAUCAGCUUGUUGGUGGGGUAGUGGCUUACCAAGGCUUUGACGGGUAGCCGGCCUGAGAGGGUGACCGGCCACAUUGGGACUGAGAUACGGCCCAGACUCCUACGGGAGGCAGCAGUGGGGAAUAUUGCACAAUGGGCGGAAGCCUGAUGCAGCAACGCCGCGUGCGGGAUGACGGCCUUCGGGUUGUAAACCGCUUUCGCCUGUGACGAAGCGUGAGUGACGGUAAUGGGUAAAGAAGUACCGGCUAACUACGUG